rnacentral:rRNA from 1 species
GAUGAACGCUGGCGGCGUGCCUAAUACAUGCAAGUCGAGCGAACAGACGAGGAGCUUGCUCCUCUGACGUUAGCGGCGGACGGGUGAGUAACACGUGGAUAACCUACCUAUAAGACUGGGAUAACUUCGGGAAACCGGAGCUAAUACCGGAUAAUAUAUUGAACCGCAUGGUUCAAUAGUGAAAGACGGUUUUGCUGUCACUUAUAGAUGGAUCCGCGCCGCAUUAGCUAGUUGGUAAGGUAACGGCUUACCAAGGCAACGAUGCGUAGCCGACCUGAGAGGGUGGUCGGCCACACUGGAACUGAGACACGGUCCAGACUCCUACGGGAGGCAGCAGUAGGGAAUCUUCCGCAAUGGGCGAAAGCCUGACGGAGCAACGACGCGUGAGUGAUGAAGGUCUUCGGAUCGUAAAACUCUGUUAUUAGGGAAGAACAAAUGUGUAAGUAACUAUGCACGUCUUGACGGUACCUAAUCAGAAAGCCACGGCUAACUACGUG